GUCGCUGCCCUCAGUUACCUGGAUCACCCCACGCUCUGUGGUCCCGGCCGGCGUGUCGCUGCGCUCCAGCCGCAUGCCGAGAAUCCGCGUGGCGGCCCGCGGCUCUGCCAACGCCGCCUCGGCCCGGACGCCCGCCGCAAGCCGUGGCCCAAUGGUUAAGCUCAUCACCUGCCACUGUGGGGGACCUAGGUUCAAGACUCUGACCGGACCAUCUGCCAACAUCCCCAGACUCACGGCUGUGGUGUCCUUGAGCAAGACACUGAUACCCUGAAAUGCUUCAGCUGCCCCCUGCUCCAGUGUGUUCCACUAACAUGUGAAUGUGUUCACUGUGAUGGGUUAAAUGCAGAGAACAAAUUUGUGUGCCUGCAUUGCAUGCAUGUUCAUGACAAUAAAAGGUGAUUCUUCUUCUUAUAAAA